rnacentral:rRNA from 1 species
UACGAAGGGGGCUAGCGUUGUUCGGAAUCACUGGGCGUAAAGGGCGCGUAGGCGGCUUUAUAAGUCGGGGGUGAAAGCCUGUGGCUCAACCACAGAAUUGCCUUCGAUACUGUAGAGCUUGAGACCGGAAGAGGUAAGUGGAACUGCGAGUGUAGAGGUGAAAUUCGUAGAUAUUCGCAGGAACACCAGUGGCGAAGGCGGCUUACUGGUCCGGUUCUGACGCUGAGGAGCGAAAGCGUGGGGAGCAAACAGG